rnacentral:lncRNA from 10 species
GGGCUUCCCGGGCCGCUUCGGGGAGGUGGGCAGGAAAGGGCACGCAGCCCUAAGUGACUCUCGGCUGAGACUGCCUCUCCUCAUCCCAGCAGUAGCCAGCCAAUGAAAAAUAGGCUCAGGGGGUUCCCGAGCCAAUGGAAGCCCGCGGGCCGUGAGGACUUGCCACUAGAAACGUUUAUGGUGUCCCGGCCCGGAGACUUCUGUGUGUUUGUUAGGCGGGGCGGGGGGCGUCUUCCCAGCAGCCCAGGACAGGUGUGUGCCCAGGCGGAUUAGAGCGCCUGCUGUUGUUUUGAAGAAUGGAUGGUUACAUAACAGAUGGCCAGCUGGUCUACCUAGAAGGGCCUUACAAAGGACAGUGCCUCCGUGGGGAAGGCUCACCCUGGAUCAGACGCCGGAUUGCAGAUUUACCAUGAAUGAAGCCCUUGGAGACUGAAUCAUGUUAAAAAUUCAAAAACAACUCAGUAAAUAUUUAUUUGAAGUCCUGCUGUUCUUCAAGGCCCUGGAAUGCAGAUAUGAGAAGAGUCACUGCUGCCCAAGAGCUGACUGACUGUGGAGGAAGACCAUGCUAGCAGGUUUCUCAACAGGGGUCCCUCAUGUGAACUACAGAAUAUAGAAAGAUUGAAUGACUAAUUAUACUAGAACCAUUCAAGAUGCAUAGGAGAGAACUCAGUUUGUUACACACAGGAGAUUCCUUAAAGAACUAAAAGUAAGACUAUCAUUAGAUCCAGCAAUCCCACUACUGGGUAUCUACCCAGAGGAAAAGAAGUCAUUAUACGAAAAAGAUACUUUCACAUGCAUGUUUAUAGCAGCACAAUUUGCAAUUGCAAAAAUGUGGAACUAACUCAAAUGCCCAUUAAUCAAUGAGUAGAUAAAGAAACUGUGGUAUAUCUAUACAAUGGAAUACUACUCAGCCAUUAAAAGGAAAGAAUUAAUGGCAUUUACAACGACCUGGAUGAGAUUGGAGACUAUUAUUCUAAGUGAUAUAACUCAGGAAUGGAAAAUCAAACAUCGUAUUUUCUCACUCAUAAGUGGGAGCUAAGCUAUGAGGAUGCAAAGGCAUAAGAAUGACACAAUGGAUUUGGGGGACUCAGGGAAAGAGUAGGAAGGGGGUGAAGGAUAAAAGACUACAAAUUGGGUGCAUUGUGUACUGCUUGGGUUAUGUGUGCACCAAAAUCUCACAAAUCACCACUACAGGACUUACUCAUGUAACCAAACACCACCUGUUCUCCAAUAACCUAUAGAAACAAAAAAUUUAAAACAAAGAAAAACUUUCUAAUAACCACAUUUAAAAAGUAAAAAGAAAAAAAUUGUUACACACAAAGGAUGCAGUGAUGGUUAAUUUUAUGUGUCAACAUUAAUUUAAUUAAAGUUAAUGUCAAACAUUAUUCAGGAUAUGUCUUUGAGGGUGUUUCUGGGUGACAAUGACAUUUAAAUCUGUAGACUGAUUAAAGCAGACACCCUCCCUAAUUAAUGAUGGGGGAGCCUCAACCGGUCAGUUGAUGGCCUGAAUAGGACAAAAGGGCUGACCCUCCUGAGAGUAAGAGUGAAUUUCUCCUGCCUGAGUCAGACUGGAACUACACCAUUGGCUCUUCUGGGUCUCCAGCUUGCCAACUGCAGAUCUUGGGACUUCUCAGCCUCCAUAAUCACAUGAACCAAUUCCUUAAAAUAAAUCUCUUUCUCUCUAUAUACAUACAUCCUAUUAGUUCUGUUUCUCUGAAGAAAUGAUUAAUACAGAUGUCUUGGGGCAUCAGGCUUUAUUUCUC